GCUUGGUCCUAACCUUUUUGUCAAGUCUUACCUAACUUACACAUGCAAGUCUCCACACCCCGGUGAGAACGCCCCUUUUCUCCUAAUGGACUAGGGAGCCGGUAUCAGGCUCAAACCUUUGCCCAAGACACCUAGCCUUGCCACACCCACAACGGGCCCCAGCAGUGAUUAACAUUAAAAAUUAGCGACAGCUAGAUUUAGCUAAAGUAAACAGGGCCGGCAAACCUGGUGCCAGCCGCCGCGGCUACACCAGGGGCCCAAUUUGACAGCCAUCGGCGUAAAGCGUGAUUAAAGUAACCCACAAAUUAGAGUUAAACCACCAUUGAACUGUGAUAAGUCCAUUACUGGGAAAUCCUGAAGCUAAAGCUACUCUAACACCCCCCCCUUGAACUCACGACAGCUCGGACACAAACUGAGAUUAGAUACCUCUCUAUGCCAAGCCGUAAACCUUUAA
rnacentral:rRNA from 1 species